AUUUAUUUUAUUAAUAAUUUUAUAUUUGUUAUUAAAGUAUAAUUUAUAAAAGUAAUUUAGUAUAUUUUUGUUUUAGUAUUAAGUUAAAAUAAAUUUUUAGAUUUAUAGUUUAAAAGUAUUGUGAAAGAAUUUUUUAAAUUUAAAAAAGAAUUAGAAAGUACCUUUUGUAUCAGGGUUAAUUAAAAUUAUUAAUUUAUUUUAAUUUCUCAAAAUUUAUAGAGUUAAUUUUAUUCUUAAUUUAUUGUUUUAUAAAUAUUUAUUAAAUAAUUUUUGUUUUGAAAUUUAAUUCGUUAUAUUAUAUUUAGUUAUUUAAGAUUUAAAUUUAAUUUAAAAUUUUAAAAGUUAUGUUAAUUUUUUUUAUUGAUAUUUUAAAUUUAAAUUAUUUUAGGGAUAAGCUUGAAAUUUUUAUAUAUUUUUUAUUUUAAUUUGAAUAUUUAAUAGAAUUAGAAAUUUUUAUUUUUGUAAAUUUGUAAAAAUUUGUUAUUUAAUUUUAUUUUGAUUUAUUAUAAAUUAAUUAUUUUUUUUAUUAAAUUUUAUAAAUUAAUAAAUUAUUUAUAGUAAUAAUGAUUAAAUUAGUAUAAUAAGAAAUUUAUAAUUUAUGAACUUGGCAAAAAUUAUUUUCAUCUGUUUAACAAAAACAUUGUAUUAAGAUUUAUUUAAUAUAGGAUCUGCUCAAUGAUUUUAUUAAAUAGCUGCAGUAUUUUAACUGUGCAAAGGUAGCAUAAUAAUUAGUCUUUUAAUUGGGGACUUGUAUGAAAGAUUUGAUGAAAAAUAAACUUUAUUAAUUAUAAAAUUAAAAUUUUAUUUUUAAGUAAAAAAGCUUAAAUAAUUUAAAGGGACGAUAAGACCCUAUAAAACUUUAUAAAUUAAGUAAAUUUUAUUUAUUUUGGUUUAUUUUAUUUAAUAUUUUUAAAUAAUUAUUUAAGAAUGAAUUUUAUUAUUUAUUUUAUUGGGGUGAUAAAAAAAAUUAAAAAACUUUUUUUAAAAUUUGACAUUAAUUAAUGAUAAAUUGAAUUAAAAAUUUUAAUUGUAGGAAAAAGUUACUUUAGGGAUAACAGCGUAAUUAAUUUUUUAAGUUCAAAUUUAAAAAUUAGUUUGCGACCUCGAUGUUGAAUUAAGAUAAAUCUUAGGUGCAAAAUUUUAAGUAUUAGGUCUGUUCGACCUUUAAAUUCUUACAUGAUUUGAGUUCAAACCGGUGUAAGCCAGGUUGGUUUCUAUCUUUUAAAAAUUAAUUAAUUUUAGUACGAAAGGAUUAAAUAAUUAAAUUAAAUUUUAUUUAAUUGAAUUAAAUUAAGUUA
rnacentral:rRNA from 1 species